GGGCUAGGGUCGCGGAGGCGGAAGUGACUCGGCGGGGCUCGGAAGCAUGGGCUUUGGCGUUGCCUAGGGUUCACUGGGGCGAGCGAUAAGCAAGCAAUCCUUGCGUUGGCAUCACAGGCUCAGUCUUGCGUAUUCUGGCCAGGGCUUUCUCGCAGCUCCUACAGACGGACCUCAGCCUUGCAUCAUGUGGCCCUCUGAAAGCAUGGAGCUUAUUGCUCCGAAGCCAACAGGAGAGCUUCUCCCAAUUCUGCUACUACUGCUGUUACAGCUGCUUACAACAGCUAUUAUCGUUGCUAGAGUCUUAUAUUCAAUGUGACAUCAUAGGUGAAAUGAUUAUACUCUGUUUGCUGUAUUACAUAACCUAAUAAAAAGGAGGGACAUCCCGUUAUACUAAGUGCGUCAGGAAUCUUAAGAGCCAUUUUUAGGUCUCACCAGCCAUGGUUCUUGAAUGGGUAUCUGCUGUCAGCACAUGAAAUCCUUCUUAAACAGGUUGUCUGCUUUUUUUUUUUUUUGACAUUCUUUUGGGAACAGCCACUAAUUUAUUAGUGUACUUAGAAAUUAUGAAUUUCCAAUGUGAAUCUACAUCGACACUCAUGUCUCACAGACUUCAAAGGGACAUCUCUGAGCAUGUUUUGUGACACAGAGUUUUCCUUACAAUUUAAAAUAAAUGUACUCUAAGAAAUGA